rnacentral:rRNA from 1 species
GAUGAACGCUGGCGGCGUGCCUAAUACAUGCAAGUCGAGCGAACAGACGAGGAGCUUGCUCCUCUGACGUUAGCGGCGGACGGGUGAGUAACACGUGGAUAACCUACCUAUAAGACUGGGAUAACUUCGGGAAACCGGAGCUAAUACCGGAUAAUAUAUUGAACCGCAUGGUUCAAUAGUGAAAGACGGUUUUGCUGUCACUUAUAGAUGGAUCCGCGCCGCAUUAGCUAGUUGGUAAGGUAACGGCGUACCAAGGCAACGAUGCGUAGCCGACCUGAGAGAGUGAUCGGCCACACUGGAACUGAGACACGGUCCAGACUCCUACGGGAGGCAGCAGUAGGGAAUCUUCCGCAAUGGGCGAAAGCUUGACGGAGCAACGCCGCGUGAGUGAUGAAGGUCUUCGGAUCGUAAAACUCUGUUAUUAGGGAAGAACAAAUGUGUAAGUAACUAUGCACGUCUUGACGGUACCUAAUCAGAAAGCCACGGCUAACUACGUG